rnacentral:rRNA from 1 species
UCCUACGGGAGGCAGCAGUAGGGAAUCUUCGGCAAUGGACGAAAGUCUGACCGAGCAACGCCGCGUGAGUGAAGAAGGUUUUCGGAUCGUAAAACUCUGUUGUUAGAGAAGAACAAGGGUGAGAGUAACUGUUCACCCCUUGACGGUAUCUAACCAGAAAGCCACGGCUAACUACGUGCCAGCAGCCGCGGUAAUACGUAGGUGGCAAGCGUUGUCCGGAUUUAUUGGGCGUAAAGCGAGCGCAGGCGGUUUCUUAAGUCUGAUGUGAAAGCCCCCGGCUCAACCGGGGAGGGUCAUUGGAAACUGGGAGACUUGAGUGCAGAAGAGGAGAGUGGAAUUCCAUGUGUAGCGGUGAAAUGCGUAGAUAUAUGGAGGAACACCAGUGGCGAAGGCGGCUCUCUGGUCUGUAACUGACGCUGAGGCUCGAAAGCGUGGGGAGCAAACAGGAUUAGAUACCCUGGUAGUCCACGCCGUAAACGAUGAGUGCUAAGUGUUGGAGGGUUUCCGCCCUUCAGUGCUGCAGCUAACGCAUUAAGCACUCCGCCU